CAGACUGCUGCAUCCUGUAAGCUUGCAAGGCUGAAAAAUAAUGACUAGCCCUUUUAUUUCGCCAGCAAAGCAACUUUUCCUCUCUCUCCCAAUUUCAUGGCUUUUUCCUUCUCAUUUUUCACCUGCUCCGCCUAAACGUGCUUCUAUAGUUGCAAUAUGAACACCUCGUCUGCACCGUUUUAAUCGCUGGUCCUCAUAGCGAUAAGAUAUGAGCUCACACUUGACUAUUGACUUUUAAUUGUGUGUAUGGAGCAUGAGAUGUUUAAUGUUUGAUUUCAUUGUGCAUUUGAACCCACGACUGCAGCAGAUAAAUACACAAGUGUGUGUUGCCAUUUGUGGUUGUUGGAGAUGUGCUGGUAUGUGGGUUAAUUAAAGGAAACAUCCCUGGCUGCUGUUGCUGUUUUUUUUCCCCCCUCUCUUUGUAUUCUCUCUCACACACACAGUAAUGAGGAAUGGAAGCAGAGAGGCUGGUGGUACCAGUACAGCACAAUUCAUCAUUCAUGUCAUCCAUACCAAAGCCAGCUGCUCGGAACAGACACCGAAAAUUAGCAUUUCACCCCAUCCCUUCUCUCUCUCUCUCAUGCACGCUUUGAGUCGCUCUUCCUCAUCAACCCCGUUUUGUCGCUUCCUCACUAUUAAUGGUCCUCUCUUCUUAUCAUUUAACUGGGAAACUAAUUCCUGUCUUUGAUUACUGUCAACCGCAGCACAAUGACCCAUAUCCGCCCCCUCCGGUUCUGCUGAAACUGCUGUUUCACUGGAUUGGAUGUCAAGAUAAAUGUAUCUAUCACUACAUGUGGAACUUGCAUCAAGCCCGACAGAUGUCUUAUUUCAACCCCUAUUAUAGCUUUACCAUCUUUUCAGAGUCAGCGGCACUAAGCUCUCAUUGCCAGCUUUAUAAGCUAUCCUUCCUACAGUUAGCUGAAGGAGUGCUGUAAUUACACAUGAACCCUUGCUGCAGCUUUUCCUUUGUCAGCCUAAAAGAACCAGAAGGCCAAUCUCAGGGUGGCUGUGACAUUACCUUCAGAUUGAAAGUUGAAGAAACUCUUUGAAAGAGAACAUCUAUUCAACCAAGUCUCAAAAAGAAAAUCAUUUCUGCAAACCUCACACUCCGAAUCCACCAGCACAUCCACCUGUUGGAGGUUUCGGAGACCGGUUUGGUCCGAGCCGUGGCUUGUCUUCAGGGUACAGGAAUGAGAAGUGACAUAACUCUACAUUUCCCAGACCUAAUUCAGUAUGGAAAUAAACAUGGAGUUGCAGGGUUGAUGUGAUAUUUGCCAAAUGAUCAAGGUAAACUGGACUGUCUUGGAAGACUGAGACUAGACUUGGUUCAGCACUACCCAGACCUAAUUAAUUACAGAAGUAAAGGUGGAGUUGGAGGAUGAAUGCCAGAGGAAUUGUCUAAGGAGUAAGAAACAGAACAAGCCAACCCGUCCCCUGUGUGGUGUCAUCCUCUUCUUCUCCUCCUCCUUUGCACUUCUGUUCCUUCGCCCUGUAUUUCUCUCCCUCCAAUGGAUCAGGCCGCCCUGGUGUGCCACCAGAACCAAAAAGCGAAAAGGCCCGAGUUUGGAGAAGCUAACGGCUGUGUGUUUGAUCGCAACGAGGGACUCGGAAUUGACCCAGAGUCGUCAGAUCGUGACCAACACAGCCAGCCCAUGAGAGCCGGGUCCUCGGCCAGCCAAUCACGAACACGCCAGAUUCUCAAACCGACACCCACUUCCUGUUAAGUGCAUAUGUGAAUCGAAAAAAUGUUUUCUUUUUUAAUAACGAAAGUGCACAGGUGGAGCAAUACUUUCGUAAACACAACAUCCCUGCAUUAAUUCCUGUAUAUUUAUUUCAUUUUUGCAGGAUGUCUGGAGCUGGAAUGAGAAUCUGGAAAAGACACCGGAGGUAAGGAUGCAGGGAUUCGUUUCCAUUCAUUCACUCGUUUGUAAACAGCUUAUCCUUUUUUCUUUUCUCACAACCCUACAUCAACAGGUUUAACAAGGCCUUUUGUCGUACCGUCCGCGCUCCCCUCGCGUAAGACAAAAAGGUUAAUCAAUAACAUGGUUCAAAAUAAAGUUUAGUGAUUGUGCUUUUAAAACCAAAGUCAAACAUAGAACAACAAACAUCGACAAUGACAAGAAAGAAUAACAGUGCAUUACAAAAAACAAAAACGAACAAUCUCUCUCAAAAUGUGGCACUUUUCCUGGGGCAGUUUAAACACUAUGACAAUUUACAACCAGGAUGGUGGCUUAAAAAAAAUUAUAUUAACUGGCGUAAUUUUAAAAUUAUUCAAAUAAGCCAAGGAAGACAAAUUGAAUGUACCACAAUGGAUUAUAAAAGACAGUUAGAUAUGUAUACACGUGUAUGUACAUGUCAGCCAGUCCCUUUGUGCCUGGAGUUUCAUUACAGUAACAUCUGACUGACAACCUUCUCAUCAAGGUGAACAAAGCCAUAAUCGUUUUCAGGAGCUAACGGACGCAUCAUAUUGCAUUGGAAUCAAAACAAAACUGCUUUAGCCCCUCUCAAAUGCACCCUUUGUUUUUUGUUUUCUUCUGUCUUUUUCUUCUUUAAAUGCACAUUGAAAAUUAAGGUAAAUAAAUGAAGAAUGGUUGGUCAGUUUUCCAAACGUGACUCUGGGUCGGUAGUUUUCAGUUAAAGACACCGCCGAGAUGGUCAAACUGCGCUGAAGAU